rnacentral:lncRNA from 1 species
AUUGUAGAAGAAAAGUUAAAUUUAAUGUAACCAGAUAUAACAUUACGAAUCUCUGUCAGUCAGGUCUUUUUUUUCGAAAAUCAAAAUCUUUUUUCCUGUUCUUUAUUCAUUGUAGCAAAUUAAGUAAACACAAGGUGGCACUUUUAUGAUAGAUAAUUUGAACGUUUAUUUUACAUAUGACUGGUAUCCUAAUAAAAUUAAGAGGAAUACAGUCAUAAAAAAAUACACAAGAAGAAGCGCCACCUUCUGUUUAUUAAUGUUGUUAGAUAUUGUUAUGUUUAUGUCUUGUUUAUAUGUUAGCUAAUGUCUGUGAUAAUUGGGGUGUUUAUUCACAGGAUCAGGAUUUUUAUAGCUGAUUGCUUGAAAUAGAUUCUGUUGUAGAAAAUAAAAUUGAAAAC